GGGGAAUAUUGCACAAUGGGCGAAAGCCUGAUGCAGCGACGCAGCGUGCGGGAUGAAGGCCUUCGGGUUGUAAACCGCUUUCAGCAGGGACGAAGGGUUUCUGACGGUACCUGCAGAAGAAGCACCGGCUAACUACGUGCCAGCAGCCGCGGUGAUACGUAGGGUGCGAGCGUUGUCCGGAAUUAUUGGGCGUAAAGAGCUUGUAGGCGGUCCGUCACGUCGGAAGUGAAAACUCAGGGCUUAACCCUGAGCCUGCUUUCGAUACGGGCAGACUUGAGGGAUGUAGGGGAGAACGGAAUUCCUGGUGGAGCUGUGGAAUGCGCAGAUAUCAGGAGGAACACCAGUGGCGAAGGCGACUGCCUGGGCCAACACUGACACUGAGGCACGAAAGCGUUGGGAGCAAACA
rnacentral:rRNA from 1 species